rnacentral:rRNA from 1 species
UGGGGAAUAUUGGACAAUGGGGGAAACCCUGAUCCAGCCAUGCCGCGUGAGUGAUGAAGGCCUUAGGGUUGUAAAGCUCUUUUGUCAGGGAAGAUGAUGACGGUACCUGAAGAAUAAGCACCGGCUAACUUCGUGCCAGCAGCCGCGGUAAUACGAAGGGUGCUAGCGUUGUUCGGAAUUACUGGGCGUAAAGCGCGCGUAGGCGGCUUGUCAAGUCAGGGGUGAAAUCCCACAGCUUAACUGUGGAACUGCCUUUGAAACUGUCAAGCUAGAGUGUCGGAGGGGAUAGCGGAAUUGCUAAUGUAGAGGUGAAAUUCGUAGAUAUUAGCAGGAACACCGGUGGCGAAGGCGGCUAUCUGGACGACAACUGACGCUGAGGCGCGAAAGCGUGGGGAUCAAACAGGAUUAGAUACCCCGGUAGUCC